ensembl:lncRNA
UUAGCAGAGGCUGAACUGAAACAAAUCCCUGCAGACCAAAGGUGCCCUCCAUUACGGAUUGCACGGCAGCACAGCACUGUGAGGGCAUACGUGGGAAGAGAUCUCCGGUGCUGCUCCGUCAUCACACACAGUUUUGUGGCAGCAGUGCAGAGCCCAUGCUACACAGCACAGACAUUCAGAGCUGCUGCCGUCGAGUGUUAAUUAAAAGCAAACUGGGCAAGAAAUAAGGAACAGCAGUUAUCUUUUGGCGACUUUAUUUACCAAGGUCAAAAUCUGCAACCAUCUAAUUGUUUUGACAAAUAUUUACAGUUCAUAUAAAGCACGUACGUUGGUUUGGAACAAAACAGCAGAGCAGUAUUUGGUACUACACCUCUCACUCUCAGGAUACAGAUUUUGUUCUCUUACUGCUGACGUUUUGAAGUAAAUCCAAAAUCAGUACUUUGUGGUAAGUGAUUACUUAAGGAGCAAACCCACGUUACUGGUGAAUACCUCUGUGAUGAAAAAUCCAGCUGCUCUUUCCAAAAGAGGACAAAGACUGCCUAACGUUAUGCCUGGCAGCACUCUGUGUUUGCUCCACUUGCUGAAAUACAGAAAGAAUUGGCCACCAUGUUUUGUACAGUCUCAACACGCGAUAACUGCUUUUAUUAUUAAUUAUGAUUCCGUAUUACAAAAGAAGGUAAAGGAACGACAGCACGCAGUGAGGAUGAGGAUACUGCACAGAGGAGCUGUCACAUCAGUCCCAGCACUGCAGAUCAGUCCCUCUGAAGUGUACACACACUGAUGGCAGACAGCGACAGUCCAAUCCUGGAGCAAUUUACUCAUCUAAUGGCUUUCUCAGCAUUGCUCGUUAUGGCUGAUGUGCAACAAAAGCAUUUUUUGUGUUUGACAUGACUGAAAACGAGUGCACACUCCAGUCUGGCCUAAAGGAAAUGUGUUGUGGAUGAUGGACGUGUUCUAUUCAGGAAGUCUGGAACAAAAAUUCUUGUAUAGCCUGCUAACAGUGGGACUGUGGAGUGCAGUCUCUCCCACAGCACUUGCAAAGAGCUCUGCUUGCUCAGAAACCCGUGAGUUCAAAGUGAGUAAAAUAAAAACUGACCACACGGAAAGCAGGGGAGUGAGCACAUCUCCUCAUUUCAUUCAGGUCCGAGCUAGCACAACACACACACGUAGCUCUAACACCUUUUGCACAGCGUAGCCCAUAGUGCAAUUCCCACUGACAGAUCUGGAAGCAGGAUUCAAUCCUAACUAUGGAGAAUAGUGUAUUUAUUCAUCAUGCAAGAAGCACUGCGCACGCAUUUGUCUGUCACAGAAUGGCAGAACGGCUGAGGUUGGAGGGAGCUCUGGGGGUGAGGAGGACUCCCAGUGCUGCCCAGCACUGUGCCCACGUGGAUUUUAACACCCAGAAAGAGCCCUGGACACAUCAAACACAACGUCUGCCUGAAACAAAUCAAAGUGAUACCAACCAGAAUCUCUGAGAGCAAUCAGGUCUGACGUGCAGAUAUUAUCAACUGUAGGGAAAAAAGCCCCGAUCCAUUUUUUUUCCCCCAAGAUCCAUUUCUUCUGUAAGUUGCCUACAGACAUAUAAAAUUAAUUCAAAUAUCUCCUACACCAAAGAGGAUCUCAUUUGACUUUGUGCUAUCCAUAAAAAUAUAUGCUUGAAAAUCUGGUUCACAAAAUAUUCCAUUUGUUUACUAAAAUGAAAUAUAUAAACUGUCAAAAUACGUAUAUAAACUUAAUUUUGGAACUUGUAAAGAUCACAAUUCAGCUACAAAAUAUACCAACCAUCUACCUGUUUUCAAUAGAGUAUUUUCUUACAAAGAUACCAUUACUUUGCAAAAUAUUGCCUACUUUACAAAAUUAGUCCAGAAGUUUUGCACUACUUUCAGCAUACAAACCAUAGAACCUCAUGAAACCCUUUGGUAUAUUCUUCUGUUCUCUGUUUUAUCAUACUUCUAUUUGGUUUACAUCCCAAAGCACAGUAGAAUCUCCAGACAGAAUAAGCAGUGCAUAUGUAAUUGUAUAGAUAAUCAGCACACCAUUUCUUGUUCCAUUACAGAUGUCUANNNNNNNNNNCC